rnacentral:rRNA from 1 species
GGCGGCGUGCCUAAUACAUGCAAGUCGAGCGGACAGAAGGGAGCUUGCUCCCGGAUGUUAGCGGCGGACGGGUGAGUAACACGUGGGUAACCUGCCUGUAAGACUGGGAUAACUCCGGGAAACCGGAGCUAAUACCGGAUAGUUCCUUGAACCGCAUGGUUCAAGGAUGAAAGACGGUUUCGGCUGUCACUUACAGAUGGACCCGCGGCGCAUUAGCUAGUUGGUGGGGUAAUGGCUCACCAAGGCGACGAUGCGUAGCCGACCUGAGAGGGUGAUCGGCCACACUGGGACUGAGACACGGCCCAGACUCCUACGGGAGGCAGCAGUAGGGAAUCUUCCGCAAUGGACGAAAGUCUGACGGAGCAACGCCGCGUGAGUGAUGAAGGUUUUCGGAUCGUAAAGCUCUGUUGUUAGGGAAGAACAAGUGCGAGAGUAACUGCUCGCACCUUGACGGUACCUAACCAGAAAGCCACGGCUAACUACGUGCCAGCAGCCGCGGUAAUACGUAGGUGGCAAGCGUUGUCCGGAAUUAUUGGGCGUAAAGGGCUCGCAGGCGGUUUCUUAAGUCUGAUGUGAAAGCCCCCGGCUCAACCGGGGAGGGUCAUUGGAAACUGGGAAACUUGAGUGCAGAAGAGGAGAGUGGAAUUCCACGUGUAGCGGUGAAAUGCGUAGAGAUGUGGAGGAACACCAGUGGCGAAGGCGACUCUCUGGUCUGUAACUGACGCUGAGGAGCGAAAGCGUGGGGAGCGAACAGGAUUAGAUACCCUGGUAGUCCACGCCGUAAACGAUGAGUGCUAAGUGUUAGGGGGUUUCCGCCCCUUAGUGCUGCAGCUAACGCAUUAAGCACUCCGCCUGGGGAGUACGGUCGCAAGACUGAAACUCAAAGGAAUUGACGGGGGCCCGCACAAGCGGUGGAGCAUGUGGUUUAAUUCGAAGCAACGCGAAGAACCUUACCAGGUCUUGACAUCCUCUGACAACCCUAGAGAUAGGGCUUUCCCUUCGGGGACAGAGUGACAGGUGGUGCAUGGUUGUCGUCAGCUCGUGUCGUGAGAUGUUGGGUUAAGUCCCGCAACGAGCGCAACCCUUGAUCUUAGUUGCCAGCAUUCAGUUGGGCACUCUAAGGUGACUGCCGGUGACAAACCGGAGGAAGGUGGGGAUGACGUCAAAUCAUCAUGCCCCUUAUGACCUGGGCUACACACGUGCUACAAUGGACAGAACAAAGGGCUGCAAGACCGCAAGGUUUAGCCAAUCCCAUAAAUCUGUUCUCAGUUCGGAUCGCAGUCUGCAACUCGACUGCGUGAAGCUGGAAUCGCUAGUAAU